rnacentral:tRNA from 1 species
GCCGGAGUGGUGAAAUUGGUAGACGCGCCGGACUCAAAAUCCGGUGUCCGCGAGGACGUGCCGGUUCGACUCCGGCCUCCGGCA